rnacentral:tRNA from 1 species
GUUUAUGUAGUUUAUAAAAACAUUGGUCUUGUAAACCAAAAAAGAGUAAAUACUCCUUAAACU